UACGAAGGGUGCAAACGUUGCUCGGAAUCAUUGGGCGUAAAGCGCACGUAGGCGGCUUCGCAAGUCGGAUGUGAAAUACCUAGGCUCAACCAAGGACGUGCAUCCGAAACUGCGAGGCUUGAGUACAGAAGAGGAUCGCGGAAUUCCCGGUGUAGAGGUGAAAUUCGUAGAUAUCGGGAGGAACACCAGUGGCGAAGGCGGCGAUCUGGGCUGAUACUGACGCUGAGGUGCGAAAGCGUGGGGAGCAAACAGGAUUAGAAACCCCAGUAGUCC
rnacentral:rRNA from 1 species